rnacentral:rRNA from 1 species
GAUGAACGCUGGCGGCGUGCCUAAUACAUGCAAGUCGAGCGAACGGACGAGAAGCUUGCUUUUCUGAUGUUAGCGGCGGACGGGUGAGUAACACGUGGAUAACCUACCUAUAAGACCGGGAUAACUUCGGGAAACCGGAGCUAAUACCGGAUAAUAUUUUGAACCGCAUGGUUCAAAAGUGAAAGACGGUCUUGCUGUCACUUAUAGAUGGAUCCGCGCUGCAUUAGCUAGUUGGUAAGGUAACGGCUUACCAAGGCAACGAUGCAUAGCCGACCUGAGAGGGUGAUCGGCCACACUGGAACUGAGACACGGUCCAGACUCCUACGGGAGGCAGCAGUAGGGAAUCUUCCGCAAUGGGCGAAAGCCUGACGGAGCAACGCCGCGUGAGUGAUGAAGGUCUUCGGAUCGUAAAACUCUGUUAUUAGGGAAGAACAUAUGUGUAAGUAACUGUGCACAUCUUGACGGUACCUAAUCAGAAAGCCACGGCUAACUACGUG